rnacentral:tRNA from 1 species
AUUUAAGUAGUUUAAUUUAAAAUUUUGAUUUGUGAUAUCAAUAAUGUAAUAUUUAUUACCUUAAAUU